AUUUGGUAUAUUUAAUUAUCUGCAACAUUUAUUGAAAUUAUAUUAUAUUUUAUUUAGGUUUUGGAUCAAACAAGUCGAUCGAUUGUUGUCGUUGAUUCGGCGAAUUUAUGGUUUGGUAGAUUUUUUCUAGUUUGGCAACUUUGUUCGUGGUUCUGGUGUCAGACUGACAGCUGGCUGAGCUGAGAGACAGGUUAUGGAAAGUGGGGACGUCGCGAGAGCGCCGGAGACUCCACUGCCGUAACAAUAAUGUGGGCAAAUUAAAAGCCACGAUUUAUCGGCGACAUCAAGAGCCGAUGUCUCGAUUUAAAUAAAUAACUUAACCGAGAUGGUGAGUCCUCGCAAUUCUUCGUGCAUAUUUUUGCACCAACUUUGUGAUAACCUCGAGGUCCUUGUUUUCAGCAACAUCACUGAAAUCCCAUCGCCUAAGGUCCAGUGGGUGGGUUUAGGUUUAAUCCGAGCGAUGCCCAACUAUCCCGGAUGAACCUAUGGGGUUUUUGUUUUUUCCUUUAACGUUUUAAAGUUUUAACGUUUUUGCAAGUUUUAAUCUAAGAAGAAGUUUAUGAUUGGAUCAGACUAUUUCAACAAAUUUUGUGAAUGAAGAUUGCUACUGUUUUCUUCUGCGUUUGCAAGUUAUUUCAAGCUUCAUUUCGGCGGAGCUUGCCUUGGUUGUUUGCACGUCGAAGCUUUCCUUUGUGCGGCGCGCAUGUGGAUGUGCUGCGCCUCUCCUUUUGUCAACACUCCGGAUAAGGCCCGGUGAAGGUCUGCGAGGUUGACCGGUGGACGUGCAGCCCGCCAGCUGCGUAACAGUUGGCCCGCUGCGCCGCCAUCGUCCAGCACGCCCUGGCCUGAGCCGGCCUCAACUCAUCACCUGUACGGUAUUCCGGAACGCCUCAGGUAGGCCUGAUAGUCGGAGGUCCUCGAGUAAGUGAGGUGCCUACAAGGAGGACGGAAAGAUAUUUUAAAACCUAGUGCUAUCUUAUGGUCAUGUCACAGAGAGACACUUUACCUAACGGCCCAUUUUUUUUUUUAUGGAAUACCAUUAUAGCAAAUUUGUUUCAGUGGCGCCCUUCUUGGUGAAAUUGUCGCUCUGUACAACCAUUUUAGUAUAUAAGUGGUGUUGGCAUAAACUUUAAGAAAUUUUUUUGUGAAAACAGUGUAUUUUUUUUUUAUUAUUAAAAGUGAUGGGAUUUUG